UACAGAGGGGGCAAGCGUUGUUCGGAAUUACUGGGCGUAAAGCGCGUGUAGGCGGCCCUGCAAGUCGGAUGUGAAAUCCCAUGGCUCAACUAUGGAAGUGCAUUCGAAACUGCAGGGCUAGAGUCCUGGAGAGGAAGGUGGAAUGCUUGGUGUAGAGGUGAAAUUCGUAGAUAUCAAGCGGAACACCGGUGGCGAAGGCGGCCUUCUGGACAGUGACUGACGCUGAGACGCGAAAGCGUGGGGAGCAAACAGG
rnacentral:rRNA from 1 species